AGUGAACGCUGGCGGUAGGCCUAACACAUGCAAGUCGAACGGCAGCACAGUAAGAGCUUGCUCUUACGGGUGGCGAGUGGCGGACGGGUGAGGAAUACAUCGGAAUCUACUUUUUCGUGGGGGAUAACGUAGGGAAACUUACGCUAAUACCGCAUACGACCUACGGGUGAAAGCAGGGGAUCUUCGGACCUUGCGCGAUUGAAUGAGCCGAUGUCGGAUUAGCUAGUUGGCGGGGUAAAGGCCCACCAAGGCGACGAUCCGUAGCUGGUCUGAGAGGAUGAACAGCCACACUGGAACUGAGACACGGUCCAGACUCCUACGGGGGGCAGCAGUGGGGAAUAUUGGACAAUGUGCGCAAGCCUGAUCCAGCCAUACCGCGUGGGUGAAGAAGGCCUUCGGGUUGUAAAGCCCUUUUGUUGGGAAAGAAAAGCAGCAGGUUAAUACCCCGCUGUUCUGACGGUACCCAAAGAAUAAGCACCGGCUAACUUCGUG
rnacentral:rRNA from 1 species